rnacentral:lncRNA from 1 species
GUCACAGGUGCUGUCGCCAGAGCUAUCAUGAAUCAUCGCUGAUCUGCUCACCGCUAUCGAAAAACACCAAAAACACCACAGAAAUUCGCAACCCUUCUGAUCUAACAUGAGUCUGUUGAAAACGUGCCGAAAAGCCAGUGAAAAUGUCGCAAAUUGAGCCUCACAUGAUUUGAGGUCCCCCGUGUUGGUUCGUCUUCUCCGAUUUAUCAACAUCUCUUUUCUUUGACUUUCUGGCCUUAAACCACACAGAUUUCGCUGAAAGGACGAUUCGUGUACAGAUCGAGUUUCUUUGCAGCCUCUGCAGACUGACCGAAUUUUGCAUGACUCACUUCUCCUUGUUGGUCACAGAAGCUCGUCAGGUUCUGUCAACAACCAUCGCUUGGCUUUUGGUUUCAAGUAGAAUGCAG